CUUUAAAUGUUUUAAAGGUUUCUUUUUCUUCCUUGAUAAGCUAACACUUAUUGGGUAUUAUAUAUAAUACUUAGAUUUGCUAUAAUGAUCAGCGGAUCGACUGCAUGUAGUGCUCAUUCUGAAAUCAACUUCCCAAAUUCUUGUCUGUUCUUAACCGUUAAGAUACGGAACCCAUGCAGUAAUAAUAUACAUUGUACGAUCAAUAUCAACAUGAUCAAAGUAAUAAUGUUAAAAAUUCUAGAAUCUAAACCAGCUUUGGUACAGCAAGGUAAACAAAAAGAAGAAAAGAAAACCAAAGACCAAAAUAUCUAUAAAAUAAAAAUUAAAAAAAACACAAAAAAAUUAUUGGCCUCGAGGUAUUGUUUACGUAGCAUUUAAAAAUUCAUUGUCAGUAUUUAUUAUCGGAGCAGGC
rnacentral:lncRNA from 1 species